rnacentral:rRNA from 1 species
GAUGAACGCUAGCGGCAGGCCUAACACAUGCAAGUCGAACGAAGCCUUCGGGCUUAGUGGCGGACGGGUGAGUAACACGUGGGAACGUACCUUUUGGUUCGGAACAACUCAGGGAAACUUGAGCUAAUACCGGAUGAGCCCUUAGGGGGAAAGAUUUAUCGCCGAAAGAGCGGCCCGCGUUAGAUUAGCUAGUUGGUGAGGUAAAGGCUCACCAAGGCUACGAUCUAUAGCUGGUCUGAGAGGAUGAUCAGCCACACUGGGACUGAGACACGGCCCAGACUCCUACGGGAGGCAGCAGUGGGGAAUCUUGCGCAAUGGGCGAAAGCCUGACGCAGCCAUGCCGCGUGAAUGAUGAAGGUCUUAGGAUUGUAAAAUUCUUUUACCAGGGACGAUAAUGACGGUACCUGGAGAAAAAGCCCCGGCUAACUUCGUGCCAGCCGCCGCAGUAAAAC